rnacentral:rRNA from 1 species
CAAUAGCGUAUAUUAAAGUUGUUGCGGUUAAAAAGCUCGUAGUUGGAUUUCUGCUGAGAACGACCGGUCCGCCCUUUGGGUGUGUAUCUGGCUCUUUCUUGGCAUCUUCUUGGUGAACGUUGCUGCACUUGACUGUGUGGAGCGCUACCCAGGACUUUUACUUUGAGGAAAUUAGAGUGUUUCAAGCAGGCAUACGCCUUGAAUACAUUAGCAUGGAAUAAUAAGAUAGGACCUCGGUUCUAUUUUGUUGGUUUCUAGAGCUGAGGUAAUGAUUAAUAGGGAUAGUUGGGGGCAUUCGUAUUUAACUGUCAGAGGUGAAACUCUUGGAUUUGUUAAAGACGGACUACUGCGAAAGCAUUUGCCAAGGAUGUUUUCAUUG